AAAAAGGCGAGAAAGCGCAGCCAUGCUUUGCAGAGGCUCCAGCAUCGCUCCUCUCAUUGGUAGUAGCAGCUCCUCCUCGACUAUAACGGACUCUUUGCUUGUCCGCAGCCUCGUUAUACACCGACAGGGAACCGGGAAUACAUACAAGCGAUCUGCCUCUCCGUGAUGUAAAGAUCUGUGUUAUAGUGCUAUAGAAAUGAAGUGAGGAGAAAAAGCAGCAGCAGCAGAGCGCGGAUCCAUAUUAUAGCAGAGCGCAGUGUUGAUGGAUCCACCAUAUGGCACAUCAUGGUGCAUUAUGGGAUAAUGGAGGACUUUUUUUUUGGAGGACAGUUUUUUGGACAAAUCAGUCGACGAGGACGCAUCAAACGGAGUCCCUUUUUUCUCUCCUGCAAAAAGCAACCUGGGACGUAGCAGCAUUUAAGUCAUUCCUGUAACCAUUACCUCUUGUCACUCCAAUUGAAUGUUUUUUUUACAUAAUAAGGUAGGCCUGCACAGCAACCAGGAGAGGAUUUGAUCUCUUUGGAUUUGGGAUUUUUUUUCCAUUUUUGGCAUCCAGAUAGUCACACAACACAGGCCUCAAAUGCUGCAAAAUUAUAUUUGAUUAUAUUUGUAAUAACAGGUUUUACGCAAAGGUUCGAGGUGUCCGUUUUCCCACAGCUGGACACACACAUGCAUGCAAACACACACACACACACACACACAGACGAACGGGUUGUGUCUCUCCGUGUUCACAGCGGACCUUGAUUUAAUGUCUUACAAUUAAGGCACGCGGUGAAUGCCAAGAGAUGAUCCUUCUUUUCUCCGGAUGUCUGCAGAUCCAACAAACGCAUCAUGACUAAUUAAAUGCUUUAUUGGUGUCGCUUCCACAGUGAAUGUGCUUCUUCUGUAACGCAUUAUACUCAUGUACUGUCUCCUUCUCCUUCCAACAAUAAAGUCAAUACACACAA